CAGUAGCCGCGGUAAUACGUAGGGGGCAAGCGUUGUCCGGAACUAUUGGGCGUAAAGCGCGCGCAGGCGGUUUUUUAAGUCUGGUGUCUAAGUGCGGGGCUCAACCCCGUGACGCACUGGAAACUGGGAGACUUGAGUGCAGAAGAGGAGAGCGGAAUUCCACGUGUAGCGGUGAAAUGCGUAGAGAUGUGGAGGAACACCAGUGGCGAAGGCGACUCUCUGGUCUGUAACUGACGCUGAGGAGCGAAAGCGUGGGGAGCGAACGGGAUUAGAUACCCGUGUAGUCCCUGUCUCUUAUACA
rnacentral:rRNA from 1 species